rnacentral:rRNA from 1 species
GUAGGGGGCGAGCGUUGUCCGGAUUUAUUGGGCGUAAAGGGCUCGUAGGCGGCUUGGCAAGUCGGCCGUGAAAACCCGGGGCUCAACCCCGGGACGCCGGUCGAAACUGCCAUGGCUAGGGUCCGGUAGAGGUGAGUGGAAUUCUCGGUGUAGCGGUGAAAUGCGCAGAUAUCGAGAGGAACACCAUUAGCGAAGGCGGCUCACUGGGCCGGUACCGACGCUGAGGAGCGAAAGCGUGGGGAGCAAACAGGAUUAGAUACCCUGGGUAGUCCACGCCGUAAACGUUGAACACUAGGUGUGGCGGGUUUAUUCACGCCUGCCCGUGCCGCAGCUAACGCAUUAAGUGUUCCGCCUGGGGAGUACGGCCGCAAGGCUA